rnacentral:rRNA from 1 species
AUUCACAUCUGCGGGCGCACGUAACACAUGCAAGUCGCGCGUAGUGGCGAACGGGUGAGUAAUACGUGAGUAACCUGCCUUACACAAGGGGAUAGCCUUUGGAAACGAAGAAUAAUACCCUAUAGUGUAAGAUGGACUUGCGUCUGAUUAGCUAGUUGGUGGGAUAAAAGCCCACCAAUGCGACGAACAGUAGCCGGCUUAGUAGGUAGGCCGAGCACAUUGGGACUGGCACACGGCCCAAACUCUACAGGAGGCAGCAGUGGGGAAUAUUGCACAAUGGGGGAAACCCUGAGGCAGCGACGCCGCGUGAUUUAGAAGGCCUUCGGGUUGUAAAUAACUUUUAUAUGGGAAGCAGUACCAUAAGAAGAAGGUCCGGCUAAAUACGUGCCAGCCGCCGCGGUAAUAC